rnacentral:tRNA from 1 species
UCUGCGAUGGUGUAGUGGGUAACAUUCAAGCUUUGCAAAACUCGGCUGCAUGCUUGAGACCGAGGUUCGAUUCCUCGUCGCGGAA